ensembl:snRNA U6 U6 spliceosomal RNA
GUGCUCGCUUUAGCAGCACAUAUACUAAAACUGGAACAAUACAGAGAAGAUGAGCAUGGCCGUUGAACAAGGAUGACACCCAAAUUCAUGACGUGCUCCAUAAAAAA